AACAACCAACUCUAUUCCAUUUCCUUUCCUUUAUCCAAAUUUUGAAUUUGAAUUCCCGUAACUAUCUCAAAACCCUGAUCAUGAGCCUUUUUCUCUCAUUUGCAGAGCGAGAAGAGAGAAAAAAAAGGCGCGUUAAAAACAGAAUGAGAAGAGAGAGACGGGAAGGAGAGCAUGACAGGAGUCCGGCAGGGGUAUUGGGUGGCGACCGAAGGCAGUGGCGGAAGGAGAUCUGAAGUCUGAUCGGCGGCUAGGGUGUGACGCUGGUGGCUCAGAUUAAACUCAAACUCGACAGAACGAAGAGGGUGUUGUGCCUUCUAUAGAAGAGGAACAUAGGGCGUACAAUGUUGAUCUUAUCUCUGCCACUAAGGAUUAAUGUUUUGUUUGAGCACAUACAGAAGAUGUUGUCUGGUGACACAACUGUGAUUGCUGAAACAGGAGAUUCUUGGUUCAAUUGCCAGAAUGUAAAACUUCCAGGGGGAUGCAGGUAAGCAUCAAAUGGGGCAUUAAUUCAUCAAAUAACAAAUUUUUUUAUCAUUGCAUUUUGAUGAUUGAAGCCAGGUGUUGUAAGUAUGAAUUUCAUAUGCAAUAUGGGUCAAUUGGCAGGUAGAGCCUUUACUUCAACAAACAUAGUAUGUUUUUUUUUUCUGACACACUAUAUACUCUGUUUAUUUUGGAUUUCUUUAUCGACUUCAGAUUUGUGUUGAUUUUGUUAAAUCAGGUACUCAAAUUAGAUUAAUUGUGUUUAUCAAGAAUGUCGCAGUAUAACCGUUGGUUUAUAUGCCAUAACCAACCAACUGAGCUUAGUGAAGACAUACCCUCAGAGGGUUUUGUCAUGUUAGUAAAACAUACAGAAUUAAAUUUUACUUGUAGCAUUAUAUCUCUGAAUGGCUAGAUUGUAUUAAAAAAAUAAAUUAUUAUUUUUGGCAUCGGGGGUGGCGUGUUUAGUGGUGUCUCCCGAAGGAAACCGAGGAGGCUCAACGAAAUGACCGAAGCAUUGUGAGUGUCUCUUCCUUUAUUUUCAUCUCUUAAAUGUUCCAACAAUUAUGUAAAUUUUGAACUUUACAAUUAGACAGGGAACCAGACAUACUGGUGGUACAUGAAUUUUAGUUGAAUGGCAACUUUGAGAACAUGCUUAUGAUGUUGAUAGUGAGAUGUAUCCGAAAACAUGAAAAAAAAAAUAUGGUGGCUUCGGUCUUGGGUAGUUGUGGCUCAUUACAAGCUCGAUCUGGUGAUGGCUAACUUCAUGAAAGUUUUGUGUGGUCAAGAAAUUUAUAGGUAUGCUUUAAUGGAAUUGGGACAUAAUGCACCUGACCUCCCUUUGGCCAUACUCACGUAUUUGCAUCAUAUCAAAAGAUGUGAGUUACAAAUACAAUUUAGAAUUUCUAAUUCUAACCCGUUGAUUUCCGGUUGUAGCUAUUUCUUUUAACCAUUAUCAGGUGAGGAGACUGCUAUAAUUUGUUGAGAAACUAAUAAAUACAAAGGAAAAAAGAAAAGGAAUCUGAUUGUAUAUCGUCUGACUACAAUCAAAGACGGUUCACUCUAUUGCACUCCACAAGGUGAAAAUGGUGUUCCUCCUAGAAUAAAGCCAGAAACUUGUAGGCGCCGUAAAGGAGCAAGCAUGACAUUCAGUCAAACUGGUUUAUUUAGAAUCUAGGUCACUUGCAUUCAGUCAAACUGAAUUUUUGGUUCAAUGCCCAAUUUGAAUCUGACCUCGAGGAAGUUAUACAUAGAGUUUCACCAUAACAAGCCAGGGGCACAUUAUGGUGGCAUGCUCAUAGCCAAUGGCUACGCACUAUGGUCUAUGGUUCACUUGUUAUCCGUCCAAAGUCUGGUUCUAACUUCUAAGUCCGAUUCUUCAUAUCCCUUUCCAAAGCCCAAAAUCGAGUUUCCUGUGUAUUCUAGGUAUAGGUGAGUGGUGGGACAGAAAAGUAAUCAGUGUUUAACGCCAAGUGUUGUUUAGGGGUGCAACACCGAAUGUAUAUACAGAUUGUGGUGGUUGGGUGUGGCCACGAUGGCAGACGAUGUUCUGUAUGAAGACCACGACUGGUUGGUUGCGACUCGAGUGAAAGAUCAUUUGGGAAGAAUGACGGUGGAAGAGAAAAUCGCUCAGAUGGUCUAGAUUGAAAGGCUUGCAGCUCUACUCCUGAUAUUAUGAGGCCCUAUGUUUUAGGUGCUGUUUGUUUUUUUUCCCAGAAGCUCUUCUGAGCACUUAUGUCUGCGUCGCGCAGAGGCGCGCAGACAUAAGGUUCCUGCAGAGUGUUUGUUUUCUUGAAGAUCUGCAGACCAAAAACGUCUGCGAGGCCUCUUCCCCAAGCAGACCUGUCCACAAGUCUUCUAACCUCUGCAGACCUCUUCACCCUCUUCAAAACAUUCAUCUGCCCCACAUCUCCGCCACCACCUCCCUGCUCCGCCACCACCUCCCUGCUCCGCCACCACAUCUGCUCCACCUCC